rnacentral:rRNA from 1 species
UUCUAGGUGUAUUUUAUGGUGCCCGUACCGUAAACGGACACACGUAGGCGAGGAGAGAAUCCAAAGACGCGCGAGAUAAUUCUUGUUAAGGAACUCUGCAAAAUUACUCUGUAACUUCGGAAUAAAGAGGGCUCCCGUGAGGGAGACGCAGAAAAUAGGCCCAAGCGACUGUUUAACAAAAACAUAGGUUUCUGCUAAAGCGUAAGCUGAUGUAUAGGAGCUGACGCCUGCCCAGUGCUGGAAGGUUAAGAGGAGAAGUUAGUCGCAAGGCGAAGCUUUGAAUUGAAGCCCCAGUAAACGGCGGCCGUAACUAUAACGGUCCUAAGGUAGCGAAAUUCCUUGUCAGGUAAGUUCUGACCCGCACGAAAGGCGUAACGAUUUGGGCGCUGUCUCAACAAGAAACUCGGUGAAAUCAUAGUACCUGUGAAGAUGCAGGUUACCCGCGAUCAGACGGAAAGACCCCAUGGAGCUUUACUGCAACUUAAUAUUGAUAUUGGGUGUGUGAUGUACAGGAUAGGUGGGAGACAAAGAAGCGAGUACGCUAGUAUUCGUGGAGUCAACCUUGGGAUACCACCCCUCGCACAUUUAGUAUCUAACUAGUUUCCAUAAGCUGGGAAUAGAACAGUGUUAGGUGGGCAGUUUGACUGGGGCGGUCGCCUCCCAAAGAGUAACGGAGGCGCCCAAAGGUUCCCUCAGAAUGGUUGGAAAUCAUUCAUAGAGUGUAAAGGCAGAAGGGAGCUUGACUGCGAGACGGACAGGUCGAGCAGGAACGAAAGUUGGGCUUAGUGAACCGGCUGUGCUGAAUGGAAAGGCAGUCGAUCAACGGACAAAAGCUACCCUGGGGAUAACAGGCUGAUCUCCCCCAAGAGUUCACAUCGACGGGGAGGUUUGGCACCUCGAUGUCGGCUCGUCGCAUCCUGGGGCUGGAGAAAGUCCCAAGGGUUGGGCUGUUCGCCCAUUAAAGCGUCACGCGAGCUGGGUUCAGAACGUCGUGAGACAGUUCGGUCCCUAUCUGUCGUGGGCGUAGGAAAUUUGAAGGGAGUUGUCCCUAGUACGAGAGGACCAGGAUGAACGCACCGCUGGUGCACCAGUUGGCUUGCCAAGGCCACAGCUGGGUAGCUACGUGCGGCCGGGAUAAACGCUGAAAGCAUCUAAGCGUGAAGCCCCCCCUGAGAUGAGAUUUCCCAUUAGAAAUAAGUAAGACCCCUUAGAGAUGAUGAGGUUGAUAGGUCAGAGAUGUAAGCACUGCGAGGUGUUGAGUUGACUGAUACUAAUAGGUCGAGGACUUAACCU